GCAAACUUGGUCAUUUAGAGGAAGUAAAAGUCGUAACAAGGUCUCCGUAGGUGAACCUGCGGAGGGAUCAUUACAGGGUCGUCGCCCCCGGGCGGAUCCCCCACCCGCUGUAAUCUCCACGACCGUUGCCUCGGCGGGCGCGCCCGCCCGCCAGAGGCCCCGUAGACCCUAGACGUCAGUGUCGUCUGAGAACCCACAGAAACGUUAAAAAAACUUUCAACAACGGAUCUCUUGGUUCCGGCAUCGAUGAAGAACGCAGC
rnacentral:misc_RNA from 1 species